CCCCACUGGCGGCUCGUCGUCCACUGGCCGCGCCCCCGUGCUUCAGGUUGCGACAGCAGGCUGCCGCCAGCGCUCCAGAUGCCUCCAACCUCGCGCCGCCACCACGCCUCUGCCAGCGCUCCGGCCGCCUCCGCCCUCGUGCUCCAGCAGGCUCCAGCACGCCGCCUCCGCCCCUACGCUGCAAGCGACGCUAGCACGCUGCCUCGCUCGUGACCCAGGCCGGCUUCCUCUACCCUGUAACCUGCCCUGGGCCUGCAUCUCCCCCUCAAAGCUCCGGCUGUCAGCGCCGUCGAGGAACUCCCGGCCGCGCUCAUAUUGCUGCUCUGCCUCACCAUCCGCCCCCUCCCCCUGUUUUUUUUACUUUUUGCAGAACCGCCGCCUGCACACCAUGGAGGACUUGAGGCGUUUGGAUCCACGGCGUCCGCGGCGGACGACAAAUCCAUGGAGGUGCUGGCCGCAUGCGCCGCUAUCCCCUACGGCCGCUGUCUCUGCACCCCGUCUUUGUCGUCCCGCUCCAUUCACUGGCGAACUCGAGGAGAGAAAAACAGAUCCAUGGUGAUGGCAGCCGGAUGCGCCGCCAUCUUCGCAGUCCCAUCCCAUCUACAACAGCUCCAUCUCUGUCAUCCCCGCUCCAGCAGCUAGCGCCGUGAGGGCUAUGGUCGUCCAUCCCACCAUGACACCCUGUGCCGCAUCAGGAAGGCUACCGGCUUACCAUGGUGUUGAACAUACGUAUAAUGGAAUACAAUCGUCUACUCCUUUGUCCACUCCAAGUUUCUAACAUCCAAGAUGCAGUGAGGAUGCUGGAAGCACUUGCAAGUCUGGGAGGAAUCAAUUUAGAUGAGAGCGUAUUAAGAAAGGUGAAGCCUUGCUGCGAGUAAGCCGGGUGCUCAUGGGCGAUGAAACCGUCCCAUAUAUGCGGAGCCUAUACUCGGCGAAGAAUCCUCCCGAACAGGUAGGGGAUAAUAUAAAUGUAUAUAGGAGCAUGCCUCCAAUGCCGGACAUUGAUCGUCUGAGCCACCUGAUGCUGUCUCGGCCCACUAUUGAUUCAGAGGGCAGGGAGGACGACGAAGGCACCGAUGACGACCGCAUCUUGGCGGAGGUGACAAAGGGCAAGAAAACGAAGACCUCCCAGGAAGGCUAGAGCACUUCUGGUGGUGAUCCUUUGCCCAGUCACCCCAAGGGACCAAGGGCCACCAUCCGGAAGUGCAAAGCUGGUGCUUUGCCUCAUGGCGCUGAAGAUGACACACCCACUCCCCAAACCUCAAGCAUGCUAAGCAAAAGAUCGGGGAAGCAGUCGCGGAUGAUACUAUGAUGGGAGAAGAUAUGCCCUCCGUCACAGUAGACCUGACAAUAGGUCUUGCUGAAGCCACGCUGGGGCAAACACCGCCCUCGGCUGGCACCAUAGUGAUGGUAAUCUUCACGGUUGCCUCGUCGAAGCAGACCCUGCCUAUGACUGGCACAAUGGUGUUAGCAAGUGCUUUAGGUGCUGCCCCAGCACCCAAACCACUCAAAAAGAAAAAGUUAGGAGUAAAGAAGUCUGCACUGCCAUCCGGACGAUGCCGUGGAGGCUCCAGCCCCCGAGCUAGAGAGGGCAUUUGAUGUUGCAGUUCGUGAUACACCGUCGAAUUCCCUUGUCGGCAUUGAAACUGGCAGGACUAAAUCAGGAGCCAAAGAUGCGUCCCCGGAGAUGCUUGCAGGUAACCCGCAGCAUCAGCCUGCCCCUAGAGAUCAAGGUGCUGCGGGUUCUUCCUCAGGUGGAAUCCUGGUGACUCCCCCUAAGUGGCAGUAUGCCAUCCUGACUGGCCUCAUUGAAGAUCCAAUGUUGUUUUCGGCGACCUUGACAGAGUUUCAAAAUACUUUCAAGGAAUUGUAUAAAUUUUCCACGACCUUGGCCAAUCGAUCCAGAAUCAAGUCGGGCAAACUCAGAGCGGUAGAAGAUGGAGCCCGCCAGUUGCAGGAAAAAGACCGCCGGAUUGGUGAGCAUACCAUGAAAAAUGUUGUGCUUCGGAAUGAGUUCGACACCCUUAAGCAGGAGCGCACCCGGAAGUUUUGCUCUUGAAGCAUGAGAUACAGAAUCUGUCAAACAAGAACAAAGCCCUGGCCAAAACUCACCAAGAUGAUGUAGAGUGUAUGGCGAAGAAACUUGAAGAUGCUGAUGCGCAAUUCGGAGAGUGCCUACAACAUAUCAAGAACAUGGCCGAAGAAAAGGAAAUAAGAGAAAAGGAACUUGAAGAACUCAGGAUUGCUGCCCAGAUAGUAGUCGACAUGGUGGAUCCUCGCGAAGAAGGGCGGGUUAGUGACAAGACGUUGUUGGAGUGACUUCACUAAGCCCCUUAGAAGAUUACUUGCUACAUCUCGGAUACCACCAAAACCUAUGUGGCGCACGUCUUGAUGAAAUCCUAUUGACCCAAGGCCAACCUGAAUCCACUAGCUGACAGCAUGUCAUCUGACUGCUCUGAGGAUAAAUUCUCAGAGUUUGUCGAAGAAGUGAAGUCAGUAGCUCGUAAGUUAGUUGAUAGCUUGGAGUAAGAAUGAGAAACAAUGGUCAAACCACUGAACAAUCUUUUUGAGUAGGAUCAAAAAUCAUAGGACUUAUGUGAAUUAUCAGAAACAUCCGAGCUACACCGAAGGCAACGCUUCUGGAAGUAGUCGAUGUCAUGGUAUUCAAAAGUUAGACCCCUGUAGGGGUGCAAGCAAAUCAGGUUUUACUCAUGUCAUGCGAAAC